rnacentral:sRNA from 18 species
CCUAGCUCUCACGAGCUCGGCUAAUUUAUACCGUGCUUUCAGCACU